rnacentral:rRNA from 1 species
UGUGGUGGCGAUAGCGAAAAGGAUACACCUGUUCCCAUGCCGAACACAGCAGUUAAGCUUUUCAGCGC